ACGGGAGGCAGCAGUGGGGAAUAUUGGGCAAUGGGCGAAAGCCUGACCCAGCAACGCCGCGUGAAGGAAGAAGGUCUUCGGAUUGUAAACUUCUUUUAUGAGGGACGAAGGACGUGACGGUACCUCAUGAAUAAGCCACGGCUAACUACGUGCCAGCAGCCGCGGUAAUACGUAGGGGGCGAGCGUUGUCCGGAAUGAUUGGGCGUAAAGGGCGCGUAGGCGGCCCGUUAAGUCUGGAGUGAAAGUCCUGUUUUCAAGAUGGGAAUUGCUUUGGAUACUGAUGGGCUUGAGUGCAGGAGAGGUUAUCGGAAUUCCCGGUGUAGCGGUGAAAUGCGUAGAGAUCGGGAGGAACACCAGUGGCGAAGGCGGGUAACUGGACUGCAACUGACGCUGAGGCGCGAAAGUGUGGGGAGCAAACAGGAUUAGAUACCCUGGUA
rnacentral:rRNA from 1 species